UUGAGCCAUUCAUCUGAUGAGUCCUGUUGUAGUUGUGCAACCUAUUUGUCCAGUUAGUGGCCUUCAAGCUUCUGAUAGUACACUUACAAAGUUUCAUGAUGGAAAACUUCAUGUGGAGCUCCAAUGAAACGGGCAUUACCAAUGAAGGAACUUCUAUGGGAGAAAUGUUUAGGUGAUUCAUGCAAGGAGAUAUAAAAAGGUGAGUCGAAUCACACAUGCCAGCAUGGCACACCUUUUCAAAAUUGGGGCCGUGCAACUGCACUGAACGUUUUCCAGCCCAAAAAGUUGGCUGGUCUGCCCAUCAGGUUUUGUGCUUCCAUUGCCAAUUUUCAAAGGCAUGUGCAUCUAUAAUGAAAAACUAUAAUGUUGUUGAAUCUCUGUAAAAACGGCAGGCAGCACCGUUAAUGUGGUUAUCUAAGCAGCCUUCUCCUGCUCAUUUCUUUAUACAGUUGGGAUUUUUCCAUAUAAACCCCUAUUCUUUGGUCCAAUCCCAUUUAAAUCCCUCCUAAAAAAAAUAAAAAUAUCCCAAAUGAGGGCCUUUCGCCUAGGCAUAUGUUAGGAUUUUCAAAUGCAGCUGAUAAAAAAAAAUUUAUGUCAGAUUUUAGAAUGAGUUACCUAAAGAUAUUCAUCUAGAUGUUAUUGAGUUUCUAUAAUGAAAAAAUGGAAAUUCUACAGCUAAAAUUCUCUUGAUUGCCGCCACCAAAACCGAGUGAAAAAUCAAUAUUGCUCCUUCAUAAUUGAAGGUUUCUCUCCCAUCUAUCCUAGAUGGAGUUUUUUGGUAGCUGCCAAAAGAAAGGCGCUUAUUUGGGAUUAAAGAGAAGGGAGGUGUUUAUCUGGAAUUGGAACAAAAGACAGCAGUUUAUAUGGAGAAAUCCCUAUAUUAUUGUGUAUUCUGUUCAUCCAUCAUAACACGUGAGAAAGCUUUUGUAUCUAUCAACUUCUACACCGGGCAAAGCUUGUACAAGAUCCAGACCGUUCAUCAUAUUGGCUCUCAAGAAAUCGCACUUAUUGGACAAUCUUUACUGUCAAACAUGAGACAUUUGCCCACUGAAUGCGAACCAUUAAUUUUGUAGAUUACAAGUCAGAUGGUUUGGAUAACCCAUCAACUGGUCUUUUAAGAUAUGGCAAUUCAUGAGCAAUCCAGAUCUUGUCAACAUGCACCACUUGUAUGAUUCCUGAAUGUUGGACUCAGAUCUGUCUGGUGGUUUGGAGAAAUUCUGCCCACAAAACAGUAGCUUAUGUAUAUAGAUGAAUGAUUUGAACUGGUAUUCUAACUCUCCCUAAGA